ensembl:snoRNA SNORA63 Small nucleolar RNA SNORA63
AUGCAGGUACUGUUAUAACUGAAGCGUUUUACGGUUUUUUCUUCCUGCUUAAAGCACUUGGUACAUAAGUAUCUCUAACUCGAUUCCAUAAUAAGACAGAGACGCUUGGUCUCAAACAU